AUCCCUUACAGAAAUGAAAAGUUUGCUGCAAUAUUGCAACAAUAUAGCGGCAAUAUUGCGGCAAACAAAUUUGUUUGCAAGAAGUGUUUGCAAGAAAGUUGCAGGUUGUUGCAGUUACCUGCAACAUUCUCGCAAUGUUACUGCAACAAAAAUAUGUUUGCAAGAAAAUUGCAGCAAGUUUGCUACAAUGUUGCAAGAAAGAAUUUGUUUGCAAGAAAGUUGCAGGAACCUUUUCUUUUAUUAUUUAAGAAAUAAC
rnacentral:lncRNA from 1 species